CUAUUUGAGGCCAGUGGAGGAUACUGCGUUGGAGGGGAAAUGGAAAUGGGGCGAGUGAAGAGGGCUGAGCCCCCUCUGGUGGAUCUUGUGCGCCGCAGACGCAUGGCUGCAGCUGCUGAUGCCUAGGGGAGCAGCACCAGGAGCCCCAGCAAGGAUCCUGGAGCCACCCAGAACUGGUGGUGCCACCCUUGUCCUGUCCCCCUCCAGCGGCAUGAGGAAAUCAUCAUCCCUGGAUGAACCCAGCCCAUU